rnacentral:rRNA from 1 species
UACGGAGGAUCCGAGCGUUAUCCGGAUUUAUUAGGUUUAAAGGGAGCGUAGGUGGAUUGUUAAGUCAGUUGUGAAAGUUUGCGGCUCAACCGUAAAAUUGCAGUUGAAACUGGCAGUCUUGAGUACAGUAGAGGUGGGCGGAAUUCGUGGUGUAGCGGUGAAAUGCUUAGAUAUCACGAAGAACUCCGAUUGCGAAGGCAGCUCACUGGACUGCAACUGACACUGAGGCUCGAAAGUGUGGGUAUCAAACAGG